rnacentral:lncRNA from 1 species
AUUUUUUUUACACAAUGCUGUGCACACUGCUCCUAGUUGCCAAGCUUACCAGACAGGUGAGAUUUAGGUUUGUUCGUUGCAUUUUCUGCAUUUGAAUUUGGAGCAAGGAAUGGGAAAAGACAGGAAGGAAAGAAAUGUCUUCAAAGUUGAUGACAUACAAUUUAUGAUAUUUAAAAUUAAUUUCCAAAAAUAUGGUGCUGACAUUUGAGUUGCCUAGCCACUAGGUCUAUUGGAUGGGAGAGUGAAUAUUUUUUCCUUUUAGGCUGAAAUUAUACUGUUUAUUUGCCUACCAAAUGUCUAGCACUGUGAAUGCUUUCUUUUUAGGUAGGAAAGUUUCCUCACAUCCUUGCCAUUUUGCAAAUAUAGCUCAAUUAAGUCAGCCAACAAAUAUGACUUGAGUGCCCACAGAGAACACAACACUGGGUAUUUUAUCAUACAUUGCAAGCCUCUCAAGCAGGAGUUGAAGACGAAGAUUAAUUGAAGCCAUAGGCAUAUCAAGCUAUUGUGCCUUCCUAAUACAACAUCCCAAUUCCAGAGCUGGCCAUGACUCCACCUCCUUCCUGUGCCACAGUUCCUUUUGGAUAAUAUGCCUCUGGUGUAAGGAUUAGUCUUUCUCAAGUAACACGAGACUGCCCCAGCAUAAGAAAUGUUAAAAGUGUUUAUUAUAUAAAGGCAUUAUUUUGAAUGUUUAAAACACUCAUGAUAGAAAUUCCCAAAAAGUUAUUGAAUACAUACUAUGUACCAUAUUCUGUGUUGAGUGGAAUGUGGUAAGAUAACCAAAACCUAUUGGGAGGCUGGUUUUUCAAGACAGGGUUUCUCUGUGUACCCCUGGCUGUCCUGGAAUUCACUUUGUAGACCAGGCUGGCCUCAAACUCAGAAAUCUGCCUGCCUCUGCCUCCUGAGUUCUGGGACUAAAGGCAUGCACCACCACGCUCGGCUGGGAUGCAAUUUUUCUUGUCUUACUUAACUGAGACCCACAUUAGAGGAAGUAAUGAUGCUAAGAGGAAGGAAGAAAAAGGGAUAAAUAAGAGUGGGCAAGAGGGGAGAAAAUAUUAAUGGUAUUUAUUUAUUUAUUUAUCUAUCUAAUUAUUUAUUUUGCUGGCUAUAGAAAUUAUAAUGAGUCAAUGAAAUUCUAAGAAGAGUGUUAUUGUCACUAAGAGAACAGAGCUAGAAUAUUUGUAGUGAGGAUGGUGAAAAGAACCGGAAUAGGCUAAAUAAAAUGAGACCCAGGCCACAUUAACGGAAAGUACUGAGUCUUAAAGGCUUUGGAGAAAAGGAUAGCUUUCUAUCUUGGCAAUGGCACCUCUCAAACUGGAAAUGGAGGCAGGCCUCUGAAUUUUAGGGUUGCAUGUUUUCUCUGGUUUAUCAAAGCUUAUGUAUCUCAAUUAAUCUUGAAGAAAGAAGAAGUCAUUACUAUUAUAGUUAAAGAAGAACAAGUCAUGUGUGAAUUUUUCCCCUAAGAUCAUUAAUGUAGUCAAUAUAAUAUGUGGAUAUGCAAGCCUUAAGCACAUGUAUAAAAUCACACUCAUAUUCACAGAGCAAAUUCAGUUUAAGGCAUUUCAAGUUUCAAGAGUUUCUGCUUUGUUUUAGCCUUUAGUAGUUUCCCACUAGGUCACCAUUACAUGUCAUUAGACACUUCAUAAAAUAGCCCUUGCUUAUUGAAACAUGGAAUUAGAAUUAAGACCGAGCCCUAAUUGGUUUUAGAGCUGCUCAACAUUCUAUCAUACUUGUAUACUAGUCUCUAAGAUACUAUUGCGAGUGGAGCCAAAUGUGUUUAGAAGUUAACUGUGACUCUCUGAACAUUGUAAACAGAAAAUUGGAAGUUCUUAGAAAUACAUUUUACACAACAAAUGCAAUGGUAAAAACUUACGAAGAAUCCUAUUAGCAAAAUCAAAUAAAAAUAUAAAAAAGCAAACAAUAUACAAACAGGUCUUUAUGCUUCAGUUUUUAUUUUUCUCUGCUUAUCUGCACAAUAUUAUAAUAAAUUGCCCCUCUACAAAAGCACAGGGAAAGGAAAGGGAAAUUAGAUGUGAAUUUUGUGCUAUUAAAUAAGAGAAAUAAUGGCACCAUGGUGUCUUAUGGGUCAUUUUUAUUAUAAGAUAAGAAAACUUCUUUAAGUUUGUCUUUUUAGGCACAGUCCCUUCAUGACUAGAAAAAGAAAGCUAGAUUGUUUGGAGUCCCCUGAGGCGGGAAAAAAGAUUGAUUAUAUUCUAAGCACUGCCAGCAACAUUUUGUAUAAAUAAUUAAGUCUGAAGUUCAAGAC